AGGAGGAGAGGACAAUGCAGAGAGUAGAAAGAACAUGAUAACAUGUGUGUUUACACUUUCACUAUGUAUUAUGUAUCACUUCUACUAACUUGCUCCAGCAGCUCUAGGCUACACUGUCUAACGACUUCACUAACUGAUUGCCUGUGUUAACUACCUCCUUCAUCCCUUCCUUUCUCAAAUUUUCUUUUAGAAUCUUCCUCCAUGUAUCAAAUCAAUUAUAAUUAAUUUGUCGCAGUUCAUGAGGAACUAUGUUGCUGCACUGGCUUCUAAACAGAAGAAACCGAAGGAGUCAGGGCAUGAAUCUGAUUUUGUAUAAUAUUCGGAAGAAGUUCUGUUUAAGAUGACAUUGUUUGGAGUUUUGGGGAACCAUGCAUCGGCCUUGCACGUUGCAGCAGUUAAAGCAAAUGUUCUGGAAAAACAUGAAUUUGAGCUUCUUACCCUUGGCAGAAUUUUCUAAGACCUUCCUUGACUCUUUUGGGAUGCUGAUUGAUACCAACCAUCUAACCUAGGCGCCCUAUAAAAGGUUCAUCGGUACAGUUUCAAAUGGUUUGCUAUGAAAUUGGGAGAUA